rnacentral:rRNA from 1 species
CAGUCGCCGCGGUAAUACGGAGGGGGCUAGCGUUGUUCGGAAUUACUGGGCGUAAAGCGCACGUAGGCUGCUUUGUAAGUCAGAGGUGAAAGCCCGGGGCUCAACCCCGGGAUGCGGGUGGAUACUGCUGAGCUCGAGUCCGGAAGAGGCGAGUGGAAUUCCUGGUGUAGCGGUGAAAUGCGCAGAUAUCAGGAGGAACACCAAUGGCGAAGGCAGCUCGCUGGGACGUGACUGACGCUGAGACGCGAAAGCGUGGGGAGCAAACAGGAUUAGAUACCCCCGUAGUCCCUGUCUCUUAUAC